GGGGAAUAUUGCGCAAUGGGGGCAACCCUGACGCAGCCAUGCCGCGUGAAUGAAGAAGGCCUUCGGGUUGUAAAGUUCUUUCGGUAGCGAGGAAGGCAUUUAGUUUAAUAGACUAGGUGAUUGACGUUAACUACAGAAGAAGCACCGGCUAACUCCGUGCCAGCAGCCGCGGUAAUACGGAGGGUGCGAGCGUUAAUCGGAAUAACUGGGCGUAAAGGGCACGCAGGCGGUGACUUAAGUGAGGUGUGAAAGCCCCGGGCUUAACCUGGGAAUUGCAUUUCAUACUGGGUCGCUAGAGUACUUUAGGGAGGGGUAGAAUUCCACGUGUAGCGGUGAAAUGCGUAGAGAUGUGGAGGAAUACCGAAGGCGAAGGCAGCCCCUUGGGAAUGUACUGACGCUCAUGUGCGAAAGCGUGGGGAGCAAACAGGAUUAGAUACCCUGGUAGUCCACGCUGUAAACGAUGUCGAUUUGGGGGUUGAACUUUGGGUUUGGCGCCCGUAGCUAACGUGAUAAAUCGACCGCCUGGGGAGUACGGCCGCAAGGUUA
rnacentral:rRNA from 1 species